rnacentral:rRNA from 1 species
UACAGAGGAUGCAAGCGUUGUCCGGAAUCAUUGGGCGUAAAGAGCGUGUAGGCGGCUUGUUAAGUCUUGCGUGAAAUCUCGGGGCUCAACCCCGAGCGGUCGUGAGAAACUGGCAGGCUAGAGUGCGGGAGAGGAGAGUGGAAUUCCUGGUGUAGCGGUGAAAUGCGCAGAUAUCAGGAGGAACACCGGUGGCGAAGGCGGGUCUCUGGGCCGAUACUGACGCUGAGGAGCGAAAGCGUGGGGAGCGAACAGG